GGUCAUGGCUCAGUGGAAGAGCAUGUGCUUGGCUUGCAGAAGGUCCCAGGUUCAAACCCCAGCAUGUCCC